rnacentral:lncRNA from 1 species
CCCCAUCAUUAUAUAUAUUUAUAUAUAAUUUGACUUUUAUAAGUAUUCCCUACUCAUAAAUUUUCAUGAUAGAAUUUUUGAAUCAAUAAUCUAUAUUAUUAAAAAUAAUUUAAAAUAUUUAAAAUUUAUAAAAGUUAAAUUUCAUAAUUCUACGAUAUUAUUUACCAUACGAUCGAAAAAUCUCAAAAUUAAUAAUUUUUUACGAUCUGUAUGAGAUAUUUCUUAGUUUACCAGUAUAAAAAAAUCAAAAUUAAUUUAAUUUUUGACAUAAAAUUUUAUUCAAUAUAUUUAAAUAAAGAGUAAUAAUUUCGAUCUUAAAUUGAAAAAUCCGAUCAUCUAUUUUUAGAAGCCGUUCAAUUUUGACUGCUUGAUGGACUAUAUUAUAAUUUUGAAAAUUUUUAAAAUUUAUUUUUUAGAAAUUUCAAAUGUUUUGCGUUAUUUUUAACGGUAUAAAUCGUCGAUUCGGAAGGUAUAUCAUCAAAACUUAUGAGUAUAAAAAUAUCUAUACUCAUAAAAGAUAGUAUCCUUCCUCUCUCUCUAUAUAUAUUUAUAAAACUAGACUGCAAUACCAUCUACUUUCUACCAACUGUCCCUAGCGCAAAUGACAAAGAGUAUGGUUGUUGGUACACGAGACACCAAGUUCGGAUCCUAGUUGAUUCACAUUUCUAGCUAUGUUUAUUUCUAAAUGAAAUAAACGAAGCGGAUAUAUAGCAUAUUAUCUAUCUCUCAAAAAAAAUACUAUCCACUUUCUCUCUUAUUAUUAGGCCUUCACAAUUUUGUCAUUUAAUCAACCAUAUAUAUAUAUAUAUAUAUA